UACCCCGAAGGCUGCCUCCAGAUCCAAAAUAUAUAUAUAUAUAUAUAUAUAUCUCUCUCUCUCUCCAGCAAGCACAAAACUGAAACCAAGUUUUACCAUCCUCUAUCUAUCUGUAUAUUCAACCCCUCACCCCCCACUACCUCCGAUCAAAACUCUCUCUCUCUCUCUCUCAAGCACAAAAUUGUUGAGUGUGGCUUCCUACCUUUAUUUAAAUGAAGGAGUAUCCAAAAAAGGGCAUGCAUGCAGCUAUUUGGAAUGGUUGGAAUCGGUAGAAGAGGCAGUGAAGCGAGGUUAUUAGGAUCCAGCUGCCAUCACUUGGGAGGAAUUCCAGAGGGUCUUUUCCGACCAAUUUUAUCCACCUUCUUUCCGGUAUGCUAAGAAGUCAGAGUUCCUAUAUCUGAAACAGGGGUCAAUGUCGGUGGUAGAGUAUGAACAUAAGUUUAAUGAGCUGUCAAGAUUUGCACCCGAGUUAGUGGCUACUGAAGAGGAUAGGUGCAAACGCUUUGAAGGCGGUUUGGGGUGGAAGAUUCAGGCCGUGGUCACUGCCAACACUUAUCCCAACAUGAGGGCUUUGGCUCAGGCUGCUGACAGGGUGUCUAGGAGAUGUACUAUGGGUGCGGGUAGACGCCGCAGAGAUGGGUGCGGGUAGACGCCGCGUUUAUCCCAUCCCCCGACUUUGCUGCUGCUCAGCCUUUGACCACUUCUUCUAAUCUAAGUGUUUCCCAAAGGUUGCAACUGUUGAUAGACCAGCCAGGAUCAUCAUCUUCUAAAGAAGACUUGCAAAAGAAAGUCCUCGAGAUUCUGGAUUUGGAUGACGAAUCCAUGGCAUCAGCAUCUGCCACUCAGCUUGAAAAUGAGGUGGACCCUUUUGCAAAUGAAGACAUGCUGGAUAAUUAUCAUCCGGAUCUUUAUGGUAGGCCUUAGUGAUAUUCUGUCUGAUAAGAAAACAAUUUGUAAAUUGUAAUUUUAUGCUUUCAUGUUAUUUUAGCUUUACUUUUCCUCUAGUUAAAGCAAGAUUCUUCUAUUUUAACUUUGCUUUCACUUUUGUAAAAGUUUGCUUUUUCUUUUUGACUGCUUUCGAGAAAGUUCAGCAAGAAUCCUCAAAGUGAAGAUGCCGCUCUACUGUAGGCUGCUUUGUGACUUCUUGUCUCUAUUUGACACGUCAGCAACUUCGAGGCUUUAAAAGGAGGACCUCUCCUCAGUUGCACUUCAUCGAAAAACCAUCGCCUCAAAAUAAACUUUGUACUUUUGAGUGUUUAAGUGUUUGGGUGUUUUUAUAUUCCAAGUAAAGCUUUUGUUAAGCACUACUGCCCUUCUGCUUUUAUGCUGUAGGUAGAAAGAGAUACAUAAUUAUACAAGUGUUUCUUUGAGCAUGAAGAUGCUCAGAGAAAUCUUAGCAAAAACUGAGAACAGAAAAGUGACUGAGGAGAAUCAUCGGGAAUCACUGUGGCAGCAUAAGAUUCCAUUAUUAAUGGGAUAUGACUGUUGAGGCAUGCGUGAAAAGUGACUUGACUCUCCUGUCUCGAAUUAUUGACGGACUGUAGAAGCACGAGCAGAAGGCUGAUUAAAGGCGACAUGGGACUGCAGAAGCACGAGAUGAAUAGUGCUUGGUCGGAUUACUGUUGAUUUUGUCUUCAUCACGAAGAUAACAAAACAAGUCUUUUUUGUCAGAUAACAAGUAUGGAUCUUAGAUCACACAUGAACAUUGUUGUAGGCUGCAGAAUGAGAGGUUUUGUGAAUAUUUUGAUGAGGUAGGUUAUUACAAGCAGGACUUGUGGAGUUGUAAUUACCAAAAAGAAAGUUGUAGGCUCAGAGACUUGUGCAGACAGAAAAGAGGAAGCUUCCCUUAUCACCUAAAUGAAUGAAUCCUUGUGAUAUUAUUUGAUUAACUAUGUGUACAAAUUUAUCUAAUGCCAUGGACAAGCUGAAAUUAUGAUUGUUAUUAUUUAAUCCUUUAAAAAAAUCUUAGAA